UAUAAUGGCCUAAAUAUCUUCAGGACACCAAAUCCCAUAUUAUCUUCAAAACUAAGCAGAAUCGGUCCUGGUUAGUACUUGGAUGGGAAAUCACCAAUGAAUACCAUGUGCUGUAGACU
rfam:Anolis carolinensis chromosome 2, whole genome shotgun sequence.